AUCCAGCUGGUGAGUCCCAAACAGGAUGAAAUGUGCAUCCUAGAU
rnacentral:hammerhead_ribozyme from 1 species